GCCGGGAUCCGGGGACGGCCCCCGCCGCCCGCCCGGCUCCGCGCCCUCUCUCCAGCCACACGGCGCAGAAAUUUAGGUCAAGGACGUCGGGAUCAAACCCAAGCCCCGGCGCCCCUCUGCGCGCCCCGAGACGCCCCCCGCCCCCCGCCGCCCAGCGUCGCGGAGCCCCAGGACUGCGGAGACCCUCCCGCACCCACGGCAGCCACAAGUUUUUAUUUUCCUUUGGCGCUGGAAGUUCUCUCCGGCUCUCGCUCCACACCGGCACGUCCUGCGCCACUCCCCGCCCUUCCCCGGCGGAGGUGCGGAGCCCUCCCUCUGCCGUGCCGGGGAAAGGUUAUUUUGGAACUUUGAGACACUGACGAGACCCUCCGGAUUAGGACACAAUGGAACACACUCAACACCAAAACUAUACCAAAUCCAGUGUGGGUCGUGGAAAAGUGGAAUAUUUGGAAAAUCCCAACACUACCCAAAGCCUUGGAUGACCAGAUUGUUAAUCUCCCUGCCUCUUAUUUUUGGGAUAAUCCCUCACUAACAGGAUUGAUGGGGUGAAAGGAGAGAUUGAAGCACUUUAGAGCUUUAAACCACAAAGCCAAGCAUUUUCCCGUCACUCCAAGCUGCUUCCCAAAUCAUCUGGGGUCUGGUGCGUUGAAGAGCCAGUUGUUAUUAUGGCGAUUGUUUAUUAUGACUAUUCUCAAUAACAAAAUGCAGACAACAAAGCUAAUUGCAUUUUGUUGGGGAUUUUUACACUAGAACCACAGACCAUCAGAGGUAGAAAGGCCUUUCCUGAUCCAACUCCCCCCACCGCCCCAUUUUACAUCAGGAUCCCAGAGGAGCCAAGCUGGGCAGGCUACACCCCACCCCCCAGCAAUCAGCCAGCUGCUUAGGGGGGCUCUGGCCAUCACUCUGCUGCCCUUUGGCUCUGUGGCAUGCAUAUUUAUUCUGUCCUCCACAAGGCAAGAGUGGGGUGCCCUUGUUCCCUGUUGUAGACCUACAUAAGCUGACACUGAACUGAAUUAAAACCCUGAGAGGGGCUGGCACUGCAAUUAUAAAGUCAGUGGUUGAGAGAGAGCUUGAUCUUAUAUUUCCAUUACUACAUUGCUUUUACUUAUUUUUCAUUUAUAUGCAGUCAUAUUUACUCCGCUCGGUCUAUAAUUCUAUGAGUUUUUGACAAACGCAAAGGAUUGGGUUAUCUCCGCAAUAACCAAUCCAAGAUGCAGAAGAGUUUCAUUGUCCCCCCAAAAAAUUCACUCGUGCUGCCCCUUUGCACUAUGUUAUAUGGAAUAACUUAUUAUUUAUUAUGCACUUCUUCUCCAGCUCAUCCACUUAAUGCAGCCCCUGGGUCGGGAGGAUUCCAGCAGGACCAUGUCAGUCCUCUACCCUCUCUGUUGCCCAUGACCUCAUUAGACACUCCCUUCAUGUAACUCACUCUUCACUUGGCGUCCUUGAUGCUCAUGUUCUUUUGUUUUCCUCCUACCUCUCCAGCCAUUCCUUCUGUCUCUUUACCCUGACUUCUCUGCCUUUCCUUUAAAUACUGGUGUUCAUUCUCUCCCCCAGCUACAACCCCCCGCCCCCCCCCCCCCCGAAUGAGCUCCUCUGAAUGGUGGGUUUUGAUAGUACCUACUUGCUGAUACCACUCAAAUUAAAAUCUCCGGCCUUAGCUCUCCACAGAGCUAUUCACCGUCUCCGCUUAACCUUCCUGGACGUACCCCAAACUCAACAUGCAUGUCCAGAAACACAGGCAUGCGUUUUCCCCUUGAAUCUAAAAAACUCUUUUAAGUUUCACUAUAUGGGUCAACAGAACCCCAGCCACCCUAGAGACGAGGUUGGCCCUUCUCCAGAUUGACAUCUUCCCGUAUGCGAUCCAUCAUGAAGACGUGUGUUUCACUUCCUAAGUAUCUCUCAAACCCAUCUUUCCUCCUGCUGCAUCCUACAUUUCCCGCUUGACCCCCUGUGAUAGCCUUCUGAGCAUUCUUCCCACACCAUCUCUUAGUCCGUUAAUGUGCCCGGAAACUCUCUCUGCCCAGGUUGAAUCCCUCUUGGUAGGCACUGUUAUCCUCUCAGAAUGUCCUCUGUGUACCUUACCUGUGCAAUCAUUUGCUUUGUUGCUCAUCUCCACCACCAAACCAUGAGCUCUGCUCUCCACAUAUUAGCACAGUGCCUGUAUUAGUGCAUGGUUGACGCUCAAUAAAUCUUUGUUGAACAAAUGAAAGGAUGAAUGAAUGAAUGAUGGUCAACAUCUAAUUUAAUUGUGGGACUUAUUGUAUCUAUGUCCAUAAGUCAAAUUGGCUGCAAUUUUCCCUUCUUGUAUUGCCUUUGUCUGGUUAUACUGGCCUCAUAAAAUGAACUAGUAAAUGUUCCUUCCUUUUUCAUUUUCUGGAACAGUGUGUAUAAAAUUGGAAUUAUGUGUUCCUUGAAUGCUUGGUAGAACUUUCCGGUAAAAUGUCUGGGUAUGGGAUAAACAUUUCCUAGGUUGAUUUUUAACUACUGAUUCCACUUCUUUUGUGGCUAUGGACCUCUUUAGGUUUUAUAUUCUUGAGUGAGUUUUUAAACAGUAUAUUUUUCAAGUAAAUUAUUCAUAGUAACUAGGUUUCUGAAUUUAUUAACAAAAUGUUGUUGAUAAUUUCCUCUUAAUGUAUUUUAAUCUCUGCUGCACCUACCCAUAAUGUCCAUUUUUUCAUUUCUAGUAUUAUUGUGUUUGUGUCUUCUCUUUCCUGGAUCAGUGGUGCCAGAGAUCUCCCUUUUAUUAACUAGUGUUUCUUCUUUCUAUUAGUGUUUUCAAAGAAUUAGCUUUCAGUUUGGUUAACGCUAUUUUUUGGUUUUAUUAAUUUUUGUUUAUAAAAUUAAUAAAUUAUUGUGUAUAAGAAUAUAUAAGAAUAUAUACCACGUUAAAGAAUAUAAUCACAUUGUGUCAUAUUAAUACAUAUGUAUCUCUCAUUAUUUUCUUUUUUCUACUCUCUUUGGGUUUAUUCUGUUGCUGUUUAAAAUUUUUUUUUAGUUGGUGGCUUAAGUAAUCAAUUUUCAGCCAUCUGUUUCUUUUCUUUUUUUUUUUUUUAAGAUUUUAUUUAUUUAUCUGAGAGAGAGUCUCAGAGAGAUCCUAAGCAGCAAGGAGGGGUAGAGGGAGAAGCAGACUCCCUGUUGAGCAAGGAGCCCUCUGGUUGGGGAGGCGGGGUGGGUCCUUCUCAGGACCCUGGGAUUAUGACCUGAGCUGAAGGCAGACGCUUAACUAACUAAGCCACCUAGCUGCCCCAGCCUUCUGUUUUCUGACUGUGAUAUAGAAGACUAUGGCUUUCACUCUGAGUACCACUCAAACUACAUUCCACAAGAUAAAGAGAAUUUUUAUUAUUAUCCCAGGCAAAGAAUAGAUUUCAAAUAUGAUUUCUUCUUUGGUUCAAUACAUGUGUAUCUUUAUAUUUCUAAACAUAAGUUUUUUGUUUUAAUUUUUAGUUAUUUAUAUCUAACUUAAUUGAAUUAGGGUCAGAGAAGGUGUUCUGUAUGAAAUAGAUUGAUAUUUGUUGAGACUUGCUUUGCGAAAUGGUCAAUUUUUAUAAAUAUCCCAUGUGGCUUUGAAAAGAAAGUGUAUGUUGGAGUGCCUGGCUGGUUCAGUUGGUGGAGCAUGCAACUCUUGAUCUUGGAAUCAGUCGUAAGUUUAUGACCCAUGUUGGGCAUCGGGCUUACUUAAAAAAAAAAAAAAGGUAUGCCUUAAUUGUUAAGUGUACCAUACUAGGGAUCCCUGGGUGGCGCAGUGGUUUAGCGCCUGCCUUUGGCCCAGGGCGCGAUCCUGGAGACCCGGGAUCGAAUCCCACGUCUGGCUCCUGAUGCGUGGAGCCUGCUUCUCCCUCUGCCUAUGUCUCUGCCUCUCUCUCUCUCUCUCUCUCUGUGUGUGUGACUGUCAUAAAAAAAAAAGUGCACCAUACUAUAUAGACCUAUUAAAUCAAGCUCCUUAAUUAUGUUACUCAGAUUUUCUGUAGCCUUAACUAAUAUUUUGUCUGUUUGAUCUGUCACUUUUUUAAAAAAAAGAUUAUUUAUUUAUUUAUGAGAGAGAGAGAGAGAUUGGCAGAGACACAGGCAGAGGGAGAAGCAGGCUCCAUGCAGGGAGCCCGAUGUGGGACCUGAUCCCAGGACCCUGGGAUCACACCCUGGGCCAAAGGCAGGGUCUAAACCGCUGAGCCACCCAGGCGUCCCUGAUCUGUCACUUUUUAUAGUAGUAUAUCAAAAUCUCCUUAUAUGAUUGAAUUUGCCAAUUUUUCCUAAAAAUCUAAGUUCUAUUUUCUCUAUAUUUUAAAAGUAUGUGAUAAGGCAUAUCAAAAAGGACUGUAAAUAUCUCCUACUAUUGCUGUGCAUUUUUCUAUUUUUUACAUUUUGUCUUUUUGCUUUAUGUAUUUUGAGGCUAUGUUAUUAGGUAUAUGCAAGCUUAGAUAUACUGUUUUCCUAGUGAAUUGAUUCUUUAAGAUGUAUACAGCUGACCCUUGAACAACACAGGUUUGAACUGUGCAAGUCUGCAUAUAUACAGACUAUUUUCAAUAAACAUGGUAUAGUAAUGUGAAA